AGAGUUUGAUCCUGGCUCAGAACGAACGCUGGCGGCGUGGAUUAGGCAUGCAAGUCGAACGAGAAUCUGGAGGUUCAAGUUUUCGGACAAGAACUUUCGGAGGAAAGUGGCGGAAGGGUGAGUACAACAUGGAUAAUCUACCUUCAAGUUGGGUAUAGCUUCCCGAAAGGGGAGAUAAUCCCGAAUGUGGUGAUCCGGCGCCUGUCGGAGAAUCCAAAGGUGGGGACCGCAAGGCCUGCCGCUUGAAGAUGAGUCCGUGCACUAUCAGCUAGUUGGUGAGGUAAUGGCUCACCAAGGCGAUGACGGUUAGCUGGUCUGAGAGGAUGGUCAGCCACACUGGGACUGAGAUACUGCCCAGACUCCUACGGGAGGCUGCAGUCGAGAAUCAUUCGCAAUGGGCGCAAGCCUGACGGUGCGACGUCGCGUGGAGGAUGAAGGUCUUCGGAUUGUAAACUCCUGUCAUGUGGGAUAAAUGGCCAGGGCAUGAAUAGUGCCUUGGAAUGAUAGUACCACAGGAGGAAGGGACGGCUAACUCUGUGCCAGCAGCCGCGGUAAUUCAGAGGUCCCGAGCGUUGUUCGGAUUUACUGGGCGUAAAGGGAGCGUAGGCGGUUUGGUGUGUCGAAUGUGAAAGCCCACAACUCAACUGUGGAAUGGCAUUCGAAACUACUGAGCUAGAGUACUGGAGAGGAGAGCGGAAUUCUUGGUGUAGCGGUGAAAUGCGUAGAUAUCAAGAGGAACACCGGUGGCGAAGGCGGCUCUCUGGACAGAUACUGACGCUGAGGCUCUAAAGUUAGGGGAGCAAACAGGAUUAGAUACCCUGGUAGUCCUAACCGUAAACGGUGUACACUUGGUGUGCGAGGAAUUGUCCCUUUGCGCGCCGGAGCUAACGCGUUAAGUGUACCGCCU
rnacentral:rRNA from 1 species